CAUUCAAAAUUUUGAAAUGCAUGUGUUUAUGAAUUUUUGCCAUAACAGGAUCAUAUUAUAAAUACUGUUCUGAUCAAUAUUUCAUCCUUUCAAGAAGUCAUUUUUAAAAAAUACUGGUAAUUCUAUAAUUAGCUUUGUAAUGGCUAUAGACUGUUCUGUUGAAGAGAUAUGUUUAAUUUACCAAACUACACCUGCUGAUGUACAUUCAGGUUAUUCCUAAUUUUUAAAAAAUUUACAAAAUUUCUGUGGUUAAUAUAGAGAAUUUUUAACAAAAAUUCUUAGCAUAGGAAUUUCUAGAUCAACAAGAAUGAAAAAUUUAAAUUGUUUAGAUAAUUCUAAAUUGCCCUCUAAAAAGAAUGUACAGAUUAUAUCCUCUGCUACCUACCUCCUUUGCCUGCAUAAAGUAAUAGCUAAUAUUUCUUAUUGUUUACAGUCCUGUGCCACAUAAAAUUUUGGUUGACGGACAGCAUAUAGGAUGGUGAUCUCAUAAGAUUAGUACCAUAUAGCUUAGGUGUCUAAUAGGCUAUACCAUCUAGAUUUGUGUAAGUACACUCUAUGAUGUUCACUCAAGGAUGAAAUCGCUUAAGAGUGCCUGUUAAGUGAUGCAUGACUGUAUUUUAUUUGGGAAUGAUGCCAAACCAAAUAGCAUAUCUCAUCAUUUAAUCACUCUCAAAUGCCUGUUGACUGAAAAAAAGAAUCUAGGUAAAUAUUAGUGAAGGAGUUUAUUCAAUAAUCAAAGUGAGGAUCUUGAGCUCCAGGAAAUAGUUCAGCAGAAUGCUCCCAUGGAACUGCUCCAAGGUCUACAGAUCUGAAUGCAGUUUAUAAACCCUGUUUUCUUAGCAGUGUACAUGUAGAAGGGCUUAUGGCUUAUGCAUCUAACAAUCAUAUAAGUCAAAAGGGAGAGGGUACAUCUGUGUUUUCUCCAGCUUAUACACUGAAGGUAACAUAAACAAGAAUUUUUUGGUUAUACAUCAAACAAGCUCUGAGAGACUGACGUUAUCUAUCCAUGGAAGGAGGCAAGGACCAGGGUCGUUAGUUAUUCCUUCAAUCUCUAAGAAAUGCAGCUGGGGAUGUAUGAGCGAGGUACCCUUGAUCUUUUCUUGCUGAUGAUUUCUCCAGCUGACAUCUUCAGUUAUGAAGUAAGAGGUUGCAAAGUCAUUUUGACACAGGCUGAAGAUGGCCUGAAUGGCUCCUUCAUAGUACAGCAUGAACUUUUAUUGCACCGACUUAAAGCCUAUGCAGUUUGCUUGCUAGAUUCACCUGUUAGAGCAGGGAGAGGGGUUCCAAAAGUUUGUUCACAUGCCCUUUGUUGUUUGCAGAAAUAUUUGCAUAUAUUUGAAGCCUCACACCUCUCCCUUCCCUACUAGAGGUACCUACAUUCCCAGGCUCCUGAAGGCAUCGAUUUUCACAGAGCCCCACCCUCACCAUUGGCUCCACCCCUUCAACAGGUCUCUGACUAACCUCCAGACGGGCCUUACUCAUUCCCACUGCAGCUGCACCCUAUUCCCAAAUCUCACCAGGACUGGAAGUCUCAAGUGUUUUGUCCAUAGUCUGACCGCCGUUUUCUUAACGUCUGGCUCCUAAAAACGUCGUUGGUUGUCCAAAGACUCGUCAUAACUUUAGCUCUGACGGUCUUCCCCGCCCCAGGGAACGGGACUUCCUGUAAGAUGGCCGCCCCCAUGGUGCUCCUCCGCUAUGGCUUACAGAGCGCCCCAAGAGACUAAAUAGAAUACGGCCCACGCCACCUUGGCCUUGGCUAUGCUCCGGCCUCUGAAAACUUACUCAGCACAGUGCUGUUGAUCUUCAACAAGGAGAGAAAGGCAAGGAGGUACCCCAAAAACGAUGCCAUUUUUUCUCACUGCUCUGAGCCGUAGCCGCCGAUGGCCGCUUUGGUCCAAUCGCCGAGAUGGGCGUGGCCACGUGACGUCAUAGAGCCGGCCGGUGGCCGUAACUCGAACACCGGUGAAGCCUCCGAGGUCCAAGCCCGACCAGAAGCGUCGCUAGUGACAGCCAGAGAGGGGGCUUCUGCGCCAGAGCACCCGAAUCGCAAUCGCCAGUGUAUGUCUGUGGAGAGACAUGAGGCUAGAGCUUUGGAGAGCCAGGGUCCCUGAAGAGUAGGGAUCAUUGUUAUUUGAAGAUGUAGCUGUGGAGUUCACCUGGGAGGAGUGGAGGCUACUGGACCCUGCUCAGAAGGAUGUGAUAUAGCAGGAUGUGAUAUUGGAGAACUAUAGCAACCUGGUGUCACUGGGGUAUCAAAGUACCCAACCAAUUGAAAUCUUCAAAUUGGAGCAAGGAGACAAACCCUGGAUACAAAAGGAAAAAAUGCAUGGUCAGAGCUUUCCAGAUGGGUAAAUAUGAGAUAAAGAAAAUGUAGCAAAAUGCUAACUGUAGAGUCAUGAAGAAGUUGGAGA